UUUUAAAUCUGUUUCUGUCAGGACAAUACAAAUUAUACAUUUAUUCCCAUGGCCAAUGGAGAGACUUUUCGCCCAGACCUGUCUCUUUAGGUGGCCAUAAUUAUAUAACCCUUGUCAAUGUUUAGAUCAAACAGAGGUUCAACUCACCCGAUUUUGUUCUCGACAGAGUAUUCAUAUAUAUUUUUACCCUAAAAAUACAAUUUCACACUUGACUGAUUUGAUAUAAAUGACAGAGAUUAUUGCCACGUACAAGAAUCUGUAGACUCAUUUCACAAAAACUUGCACUGUAUUCGUUCAGGCAUAUAGAAGCGCUAUAAACUGUAAGUCAACAGCAAGGCAGCGACGUGUACAAACCUCAAUAAGCAAUUGAAUAUUGGGCAAAAGGCGUUAAAAGUAGCAAGGAUAAACGAAAAGAGAGUUAUAUUUAUACGUUUUGGAAGGUGAAUGUGAUCAUUUAUCAGUGAAUUGGUUGACAUUGCGGUACAAUGGGAGUAAGUAGGGAGUAUCUGAUCUUCAGUGUAGCGACGAUUGCUUCCGCUACCUUUGUGAUUCUUACCAUAUAUUCGGGAAUGGAAAAACAUGAAAAAGAUCGAGUUUUACAACCAAGAAUCACAAUGUCACAACGGUCCAACGAUCACUUUCUGCAGAACUGUCCGGCAACCCAGGCUUUGCGUCGACACACCCAACGUCAUGGUUGUUCCUCCCUCGGCUUCUGUGACAAAGAAACCUACAAGCUGAACAAAAUAAUUACAAAUCCGAGCUACCUUCGGAAUAUCUACGUCUCCGAAAGAUACCGAACCAUCAUCUGUCUCAUUCCGAAAGCAACCAGCAUGAACUGGGUGAGAACUCUAAUGAUACUAGAGGGCGCGAUCAACUCGACGAAUGGCUUGGCGCCGCAAGAAAUAGUACAUGCAGCCAAGAAGCAUCUCCGCGUGCUAGGCCAGUAUAAACUUGACAAGAGGCUUGGUAUAUUACGGAAUUACUCGUCGGCGAUCUUCGUGCGCAAUCCGUAUUCCCGUCUUCUGUCCGCUUUCCGUGACAGACUGGAGAAGUACCCCAAUCGGAAUCUGUCACAUCGUAAAUGGUUUAACAAAAAUAUCUAUUUGAAGUUCGGGAACCAUUCUCCCGCAGAGAUGCCGGAUCGGUCGAUGCCAAGCGAGAAAUACAACGUCACUUUCAAAGAAUUCGUGGACUUUUACCUGAGUGUAAAAAAAACUCAGGACGUGCACUGGCGAGAACAAUACAAAGUCUGCCCACCAUGUUUCGAUUACGAUUAUAUCGGCAACGUCGAAACGUACGCAGACGAUUUUAAGCAAACCGUUCAGAUAUUUGAUGCCACUUCGAAAGUGCCACUUGUGAAAGCGCCACAUGCGACCAAUAGUUCUGAGGAUGGCGUCUUGCGGAGGUAUUAUGGAACACUGUCGGAUCUUCAAAUGAAGAAGCUUGAAAAGCUGUUGAGUUCGGAUAUGAAAUUGUUCGGUUAUUCGAUUCCUCGAGCAAUUCAAAGAAAUUCAUUUUAAGCCUCGUUCACAUGCACAAAACGCGGCAAAACCGCGGCAGAAUUUUAACCACGUUAAUGAUGACGUAGAGUAAUGCACUUCACGUUGCUGUAUCUUAUGACACAGCUAGAGCUCGGUCAAUACGCGCAGGAUCUUCGUGGCACACAGUUUAAUUAAUUUAAAUUUAAAUUUAAUCGUAUUUCGUUUCCAGUGGUUCACCGCGGCAUAUCUGAACAAGCCUUCAAUGUCAGUGUUGAUACCUUCCAAUUAAAGUAUCAUUACACAUGUUAAGCAUGAUGUAUUACUCCAUAUCCUUAAAAAAAUAUUUUAAACAAAUCAUAGAUAUAUAAUAAUGGUAUAAGGGACAUUAUAGAUGCUAUGUUAUUGGACCUAAUUAUGUUCAUGACCAAUGAUUAGAUAAGAAAGUCUAGAUCAAACGGAAAUAUAUAUGUUUGCCAAAAAAAAAAAAAAAAAAAUCGAAAUUGUAUUGUCGAAAAAUACAUGUCAAUAUAACGAGUACA